rnacentral:rRNA from 1 species
UACAGAGGGUGCAAGCGUUGUUCGGAAUUACUGGGCGUAAAGGGCUCGUAGGCGGCCAACUAAGUCGGAUGUGAAAUCCCCAGGCUUAACCUGGGAACUGCAUCCGAUACUGGAUGGCUUGAAUCCGGGAGAGGGAUGCAGAAUUCCAGGUGUAGCGGUGAAAUGCGUAGAUAUCUGGAGGAAUACCGGUGGCGAAGGCGGCAUCCUGGACCGGCAUUGACGCUGAGGAGCGAAAGCUAGGGGAGCAAACGGGG